UUUCAUUUGCUGUGGCGUGUGUUGAGAUAUCUUACAAAUCAAGAUAUGUUGUAAAAAAUUGUUUUCCUUUUAAAAAUGUCACAGUGCAGAAAAUGGUAAAAACAGCUAUGUAGCAUGUUCUUAAAAAUUCAUUUGGGGCUGGAAUUUCCAGAGGAGCAGACUGCUUGACCCCCUGGAAGUAAUGUUGGAGGUGAACUGAUCAAUCAGGAAGAAGCUCACCAUGCUAAUAACACGCUGCAGAGCCCCCUUUCCCGCCCCCAUUUCUGAAGAAGGGUCCAAACCCGAAACAUCAGCUUUCCUGCUCCUCCGAUGCUGCCUGGCCUGCUGUGUUCAUCCAGCUCUACACCUUGUUAUACAAUUGCAUCCGCUGUCUACAGAAGGAAUCAAUUUGUGGGCCUCUGAGGUGCGUGGGCAACAGCAAUUUCCAGAACUGGAAGUAAACGCCAACCAAUGUGCGUGGAACCUUAGAAUGCUGCACACACUGGCAGCUGCAACAACUUAGGG